AUGAAGCAACGGAAGAACCUUACCAGGUCUUGACAUCCUAUGACAAUCCUAGAGAUAGAAGUUACAUUCGGGGGCAGAGUGACAGGUGGUGCAUGGUUGUCGUCAGCUCGUGUCGUGAGAUGUUGGGUUAAGUCCCGCAACGAGCGCAACCCUUGAUCUUAGUURCCAGCAUUCAGUUGGGCACUUUAAGGUGACUGCCGGUGACAAACCGGAGGAAGGUGGGGAUGACGUCAAAUCAUCAUGCCCCUUAUGACCUGGGCUACACACGUGCUACAAUGGCAGAACAAAGGGCAGCGAAACCGCGAGGUUAAGCCAAUCCCACAAAUCUGUUCUCAGUUCGGAUCGCAGUCUGCAACUCGACUGCGUGAAGCUGGAAUCGCUAGUAAUCGCGGAUCAGCAUGCUGCGGUGAAUACGUUCCCGGGCCUUGUACACACCGCCCGUCACACCUCGAGAGUUUGUAACACCCGAAGUCGGUGAGGUAACCUUUAGGAGCCAUCCGCUCGAAAGGGGUCCCCC
rnacentral:rRNA from 1 species